UUGAGGGUAUAAAUUGCCUCGACGAUUGCAGUAAAGUUAUCAGUUCAUUUUCUUUGCUCAGAAAGUAAACAAUCAAACUAAAAACAAAAUGAAAUUCGUCAUCAUCUUCAUGCUUAUUGCUUUGGCUUUCAGUGCCUCAGCUUCAGUUAUUGCUGCUGGUCCUUUGGGUCUUGGAGUUGGUCUCGGUGUUCCAGCUAUUGGUGUUGGUGUUGGCCCAAUCUUGGGUAAAGGUUUACACCUUGGCUGAAUGGAAUCCUCACAAUGUCAACGCUCGAUGUAACAACAGAAUAGCAACAAUAAAAAAUCGCAUAACUCAGAUAAAAAACUGAAUGUGCAAUAAAA